AUUGAACGCUGGCGGCAGGCUUAACACAUGCAAGUCGAGCGGGGUGAUGGUGCUUGCACUAUCACUUAGCGGCGGACGGGUGAGUAAUGCUUAGGAAUCUGCCUAUUAGUGGGGGACAACAUCUCGAAAGGGAUGCUAAUACCGCAUACGUCCUACGGGAGAAAGCAGGGGAUCACUUGUGACCUUGCGCUAAUAGAUGAUCCUAAGUCGGAUUAGCUAGUUGGUGGGGUAAAGGGCUACCAAGGCGACGAUCUGGAGCGGGUCUGAGAGGAUAAUCAGCCACACUUGGACUGAGACACGGCCCAGACUCCUACGGGAGGCAGCAGUGGGGAAUAUUGGACAAUGGGAGGAACCCUGAUCCAGCCAUGCCGCGUGUGUGAAGAAGGCCUUAUGGUUGUAAAGCACUUUAAGCGAGGAGGAGGCUCUUUUGGUUAAUACCCAAGAUGAGUGGACGUUACUCGCAGAAUAAGCACCGGCUAACUCUGUGCCAGCCGCCGCAGUAA
rnacentral:rRNA from 1 species